rnacentral:rRNA from 1 species
CAUGGUUGUCGUCAGCUCGUGCCGUGAGGUGCGGGUUAAGUCCCAUAACGAGCGCAACCCUACCUUUAGUGCCAUCAGGUAAUGCUGGGGACUCUAAAGGAACUGCCUACGCAAGUAGUGAGGAAGCGGGGAUGACGUCAAAUCAGCACGGCCCUUACGUCCAGGGCUACACACGUGCUACAAUGGCCGAUACGAGAGGGCAGCUACCUGGUGACAGGAUGCAAAUACUCCAAAGUCGGUCUCAGUUCGGAUCGGAGUCUGCAACCCGACUCCGUGAAGUUGGAUUCGCUAGUAAUCGCGCAUCAGCCAUGGCGCGGUGAAUACGUUCCCGGGCCUU